GCCUCAGCGAAUAUUGUAAUGCCUAAGUUUUGGAUAGACAUUUUUGCUGAUUUAACUAAACUUGCUAACUAAUAUUUUGAAAUUUUGACAUAUUGUAUGAUACAGGUAUAAACUUCAUUAUCAUAUGAUAACCUUUGGAAAGGUUACUUGCACCAAGGUAAAACCGAAUUGCAACGCUUGUCCGAUGAGGGAUCAUUGCUAACACUUUCAAAGUCAACAUGCAAGUGCAAAGAAAACACUCCCAUGUAAUAAAAUGAAAUCAAGUUCGGUUUCGGCUUCAUGCCCUCAAGCACUAGAUGUCUUCUCAUCUGCAUCGGAG